AAUAUUGGACAAUGGGCGAAAGCCUGAUCCAGCCAUGCCGCGUGUGUGAAGAAGGUCUUCGGAUUGUAAAGCACUUUAAGUUGGGAGGAAGGGGUUGAAGCUAAUACCUCCAAUCUUUGACGUUACCAACAGAAUAAGCACCGGCUGACUCUGUACCGGCAGCCGCGGUAAUACAGAGGGUGCAAGCGUUAAUCGGAAUUACUGGGCGUAAAGCGUGCGCAGGCGGUUCGGCAAGAAGGAUGUGAAAUCCCAGGGCUUAACCUUGGAACUGCAUUCUUAACUGCCGGGCUAGAGUAUGUCAGAGGGGGGUAGAAUUCCCAGUGUAGCGGUGGAAUGCGUAGAUAUUGGGAGGAACACCAGUGGCGAAGGCGACUGCCUGGACGAUAACUGACGCUGAGGCACGAAAGCUAGGGGAGCAAAC
rnacentral:rRNA from 1 species